AACGAACGCUGGCGGCAGGCCUAACACAUGCAAGUCGAGCGAAGCCUUCGGGCUUAGCGGCGGACGGGUGAGUAACGCGUGGGAACGUGCCCUUUGGUACGGAAUAGCCCCGGGAAACUGGGAGUAAUACCGUAUGUGGUCGAGAGACGAAAGAUUUAUCGCCAAAGGAUCGGCCCGCGUUGGGUUAGGUAGUUGGUGGGGUAAUGGCCUACCAAGCCGACGAUCCAUAGCUGGUUUGAGAGGAUGAUCAGCCACACUGGGACUGAGACACGGCCCAGACUCCUACGGGAGGCAGGAGUGGGGAAUCUUAGACAAUGGGGGAAACCCUGAUCUAGCCAUGCCGCGUGAUCGAUGAAGGCCUUAGGGUUGUAAAGAUCUUUCAGUGGGGAAGAUAAUGACUGUACCCACAGAAGAAGCCCCGGCUAACUCCGUGCCAGCCGCCGCUGUAACAC
rnacentral:rRNA from 1 species